rnacentral:rRNA from 1 species
CCUACGGGAGGCAGCAGUGAGGAAUAUUGGUCAAUGGGCGGAAGCCUGAACCAGCCAAGUAGCGUGCAGGAUGACGGCCCUACGGGUUGUAAACUGCUUUUAUACGGGAAUAACGCGCCUUACGUGUAGGGCUUUGCAUGUACCGUGUGAAUAAGGACCGGCUAAUUCCGUGCCAGCAGCCGCGGUAAUACGGAAGGUCCGGGCGUUAUCCGGAUUUAUUGGGUUUAAAGGGAGCGUAGGCCGCAGGUCAAGCGUGCGGUGAAAUUUCCGGGCUCAACCCGGGCCUUGCAGCGCGAACUGGCGUGCUUGAGUGCGCGGAAAGUAGGCGGAAUGCGUGGUGUAGCGGUGAAAUGCUUAGAUAUGACGAAGAACCCCGAUUGCGAAGGCAGCUUGCUGCAGCGGAACUGACGCUGAGGCUCGAAAGCGUGGGUAUCGAACAGGAUUAGAUACCCCUGUAGUC